GUGCUUGCUUUGGAAGCAUGUGUACUAAAAUUGGAACAAUACAGAGAUUAACAGAGACUGCAAGGAGGCCAUGCAAAUUCAUGAAAAACAAAUACAU
rnacentral:snRNA from 1 species